rnacentral:rRNA from 1 species
GAGAGACGCUGGCGGCGUGCCUAACACAUGCAAGUCGAGCGGAGUCGAUCGACGGAAGCCUUCGGGCGGAAGAUGGUUGACUUAGCGGCGGAGUGGGUGAGUAACGCGUGGGCAACCUGCCCGUUAACCGGGGGAUAACAUUGUAGAAAACAGUGCUAAUACCGCAUAACAGAGUAGUCGGGCAUCCGAUAUUUUUAAAAGGAGCAAUCCGGUUUAGGAUGGGCCCGCGUCCAAUUAGCUAGUUGGUGAGGUAACGGCUCACCAAGGCUACGAUUGGUAGCCGAACUGAGAGGUUGAUCGGCCACAUUGGGACUGAGACACGGCCCAGACUCCUACGGGAGGCAGCAGGUGGGGAAUAUUGGGCAAUGGGCGAAAGCCUGACCCAGCGACGCCGCGUGAAGGAUGAAGGUCUUCGGAUUGUAAACUUCUUUUGAUCAGGGAAGAAAGAAAUGACGGUACCUGAAGAACAAGCCACGGCUAACUACGUG